rnacentral:rRNA from 1 species
ACUCAAAUGAAUAGACGGGGGCCCGCACAAGCAGCGGAGCAUGUGGUUUAAUUCGACGCAACGCGAAGAACCUUACCUGGGCUUGACAUGUUCCUGACCGCCUUGGAAACAAGGCUUCCCUUCGGGGCAGGAUCACAGGUGGUGCAUGGCUGUCGUCAGCUCGUGUCGUGAGAUGUUGGGUUAAGUCCCGCAACGAGCGCAACCCCCGUCGCAUGUUGCCAGCAUUUAGUUGGGGACUCAUGCGAGACUGCCGGUGACAAACCGGAGGAAGGCGGGGAUGAUGUCAAGUCAUCAUGCCCCUUAUGUCCAGGGCUACACACGUGCUACAUUGGCGCGUACAGAGGGCAGCGAUACCGCGAGGUGGAGCGAAUCCCUUAAAGCGCGUCUCGGUUCGGAUUGCAGGCUGAAACCCGCCUGCAUGAAGGCGGAGUUGCUAGUAAUCGCGGAUCAGCAUUGCCGCGGUGAAUACGUUCCCGGGCCUUGCACACACCGCCCGU